rnacentral:rRNA from 1 species
AUACGUAGGGUGCGAGCGUUGUCCGGAAUUACUGGGCGUAAAGAGCUCGUAGGUGGUUUGUCGCGUCGUCUGUGAAAUUCCGGGGCUUAACUCCGGGCGUGCAGGCGAUACGGGCAUAACUUGAGUACUGUAGGGGAGACUGGAAUUCCUGGUGUAGCGGUGAAAUGCGCAGAUAUCAGGAGGAACACCGGUGGAGAAGGGGGGUCUCUGGGCAGUAACUGACGCUGAGGAGCGAAAGCAUGGGUAGCGAACAGGAUUAGAUACCCUGGUAGUCCAUGCCGUAAACGGUGGGCGCUAGGUGUAGGGGUCUUCCACGACUUCUGUGCCGUAGCUAACGCAUUAAGCGCCCCGCCUGGGGAGUACGGCCGCAAGGCUAAAACUCAAAUGAAUUGACGGGG